rnacentral:rRNA from 1 species
UACAGAGGUCUCAAGCGUUGUUCGGAUUCAUUGGGCGUAAAGGGUGCGUAGGCGGCGCCGUAAGUCGGGUGUGAAAUUUCGGAGCUUAACUCCGAAACUGCAUUCGAUACUGCGGUGCUUGAGGACUGGAGAGGAGACUGGAAUUCCUGGUGUAGCGGUGAAAUGCGCAGAUAUCAGGAGGAACACCGGUGGCGAAGGCGGGUCUCUGGGCCGAAAUUGACGCUGAGGAGCGAAAGCGUGGGGAGCAAACAGG